AGUGCCCACAGCAGGUGUGCCAUAAGCGACGGACCAGGGCCUCCUCCUCAGCAUCGCCACUGCAGCUCUAGAGCUUCUCCCAGCUUCUCUGCACCACCUGCCCGGGAUGAAGCCCUUGGCCUGUGGUCAGGUCCAGGCUUAGGCGGAAGCAGCACCCUGUGAGGAGUCAUACGCAGACCCCUGCACUUGCUGGCACCCUGUACGCCACUUGCUGCUCUGCCGACUUGCAAUGCUGAUUCCCAGGUUACUCGUCGGGGCUGUCCCACCGGGUUACCGGCAAUAAGGGCGAGCACCUUUGCCCCCUCGUCCGUUCUGCCUGUGGAACCAGCCCACACAGCGUUUCUCCUUCUCCUGGGCAGCCCGCGGCCCACGCCCCGGCCUUCCCAGCUUCUCUGUGAGCUGACGCGACGUGUGUCCCUGGCAGCCUCUCACUGUGCUCCAGUUCUGACUGCAGCGAGUGGACUUCUGUCAGCAGUCCACGAAGGAGCCAUGCUUUCAUUUGGGACCUCUAAGCCUCGUCUCUCUAGAAGAAGGAGUUUCAGUUACUCCUCUUGUCAAAAGGAAAAAUUGCCAGACACCUGAAGGAGCACUGCCCUGACUCCUGUGGCAAGAGAGAGGUAAACUGUAGCCACUCAACCAAGGGACGGUGGAGUGCCCUCUCCCGGGGCCUGGCCGGGGUCCCUGUGCCACACUCAGCAGCAGCAAACAGAUGGAGAUUGGCGCCCGCAUGGAGAGCCGCCGGGAGGGUCCUGUGGGUCAGUCUGCACUGGAGUGGACGAUGGACCUGGUACCGUCUGCUUGGGGAACUUGCUCUGCUGGAGGCCUCCGGACGUUUGCCUCUGGGGCUCAGACCGGAAGUCGUCCUAGCGGAGCAGGUGAGCCGCUUCUGGGGCAGGGAGGACCUUGAUGGUGCAGAGGGGCCCGGAAGCCCUUUCAGGGAGGCCCACCUGCACUUCACAGUGUCAUCCUGGUGCAAUGACCCCGUUCAGCGUGUUUAUUCAGUUACGCUCGCCUUCCCUCCUGCCCGGGACUCCGUCCCCCCACCCCCCGUCCAAGGGGGAGGCCUCCCCAGCGGAGCUUCAAGGGAGCCCAUCCUCAGGGACACACGAGGGCCCAGCGUGCCGGGUGAGAGUGGGACAGGAAGGAACGGUGGCUGGUGGGUGAGGUAG
rnacentral:lncRNA from 1 species